rnacentral:tRNA from 1 species
AAGACCAUUAUUAAGGCUGCUAACCUUUUCAUAAUGUUUUCAUUUGGUCUUU